GAAGUUCCCUUUAAAUUUUUACCCACAGUCAAGCGAGAACAGGAAGCCAAGCAAAUGUCUUUUGUUACGGUCUUCGGCAGUAUCGGGGCCAACGGCCGAUUGCAGGGUCGCCACAACGCUUACCUCGGACUCGGAAGAAUACCGGCGAGUGUGAGGGAGAAGCAGGUGCGCGAGGCAAAGCUCAAGGCGCUCGGCAAAUCCCAGUCUGAGGAAGGCAGGAAGCCUCCUACGCCUCAAACCAAGUGAAACAGCCUGCAGCACGUGCAGGCCGAUGCCGGAGAGCUCCGGGGAUUACGAUUUCUCGGUGACAGCGGCGACAGACACGACAGAGCCGCGCCACACAAGUCCUUGUCGCGAGCCAACACAAAGGAUAAGCUUCUCGUCCGCAAAGACAGCACAUUGAAGAAACAAGAUGAAUCUUUUGCCAAAGUAAGACUAAAUCUCAAAGUUCAGCCAAGUACAAAUGAAGACGAAAGUGACUCAGAUAAUAAUGACAGGCAAUGCGAGAAAUCCAUUUCACAUCCACCGACAAAGUUACCUCCCAAAGAUAAAAUCUCACAAAAUACUGCGUCUAAGCUCACAAAUGAGAAGAAAAUAAGCAGUGACGCUGUCCAUUUGGUUAAGAAGGAUUUGGUGGCUAAGAAAACAGCUAAAGGAGAGCAGACUAAGGUUGUGGAGCAAUUUGAGGAAAAUGAUAUGAGGAAAAGCGAAGGUGGACGUUUGAGGUCGUGGUGGUGCUUGCACUGCAACGGCUGGCGGGAUCGGAAAGCAAGGCACUCGUCGUCUGUAUGACUGUUGCAGGAUGACGAUGAGGAGUAGGACUCGUGAGGCUUAAAAAACCUCACAUAAACAUUAGUGCAUUGUAGGCCAUUGUGGCAGACAGUCAUUUGCAGCCGUAGCAAAUACUGUUCGUACACAAAUUUCUCGAUUUUCAUUUUUUCAAGGCGCUCUGAAGUAAAUUUUCGUAUUUAUGCUCGUUUUAAUAGAACUAGACUAACCAUAAUUCACAGCGACCAAUUGAUUAGUCCGUAUUAUUCGUCUUAUGACAGGCUGGUGGAGACCCAAAACUUAAUAAUAUAAUUAAAUGAAUAUAUGUCAGGACAAGUACAAUAUUCGAAAUUAAUUAUGUUGGGAUGAAAAUUAAUUUAAUUUAUCAGUAAACAAUCAAGGAGACAGGCCAUGCGUGUCAUGCCAAAGCCUGUACAGGACACUACUGACCAGGCGGGCGAUCAGUCCGUGCUUCUCUCCAAACGAUAUCAAACUGUUGAUGCCAUUAAUGCCAUAAAAGACCAUAUAUUUCGAUAAACAUUUUGCUGACCAGGUAAAGCCGCUAUAGUAACUUCAGAGACGCAACACUAACGCUCACUCCCAACGUGUAAGUAUCAUCUCUGAAUUUUGUGUGGCCUUGUUUCUCAAAUAUAUAAUGAUCAUACACUGGCUGUAAGACUGGUAUUAUUGCAUUAUCGUAAAAUACUCUUGUGAAUAUCGAUGUUACUCCUCGGUUAUACGUUUGGUGUUGCAAUUUGAAACAAAUGAGCUCACAUAAGCCAGGUUACUCUAACAUCUUGGCUCAAUGUUUCUCAAUUCUAGGUUACAAUUCCAGAAACUCGCUUGAAGACAUCCCAUUCUGAUACAUAAUCUCUGAUUUAAUGUCGCAUUGUCGUACGAGAAGCGCACACCGGGCCAUGUUUGGCUCUGGGUCUGGAGGUACAUUAUCGCGCACGGUUAGAUCGAGGGACCAUGCCUAAAUUUGUUGCUGUUCAUAUCGCGAGGAGUGCAACGAGUGACCUGCCUUUCUCCGAGUAGUGGAAACUUUUUCCAAUAGUUGUAACAGCCAUGGAAUGCUCAGUACUUGAGGGAGCCUUAAAUUUUCAUGUUCAAAAGUGGGCAAGCUGUGCAGCAAACGCCUCACUCUUCGCUUCUGUGUCGGACGCCUAGGUACUGCUCACGACAAAAACUUUUGGAAAAACGAAUUUGCCUCUAAAUGAGUGACAUACUGCAGCUCAUAAUUCCUACCUGAACAGAAUCUUUUUCGCGCUUCGAAACACUCCUGGCAAAAUAAAAAUGACCAAACAUUCAGGCAAUCGAUGCUCGCAAAGGUCGCACAUUCAAUACGUGUAUAUUUUUUAUGCUCGAAAUGACCAACUAUGCUGUUAAAUUGAGGAUGUUGGGGAAGGGUGAUUCCUUAUAGUAACCUUCGGGAAUGUUCUAAGCGAGUAAGCAUUUUUUUUUUGUGGAGGCAAACCUGCACAUUUACUAAGAACUCACCCUGAAAUAUACCGUUCCGCUUGAUCCAUGUUUACUCUCCGAGCUCCAAAUUACUUAAGCUAAUACGUGUCUCUGGAGCUCUUUGAAAAUAUUAAUACCCAACUGUUGAAAAUAAUUAACAUCCGCUUUUGCUAGAAAUUUCCCCUGUGUCACACAUUGAUGUACUCCUGUAUUACUGUUAGUCGUAAAAACUACUGGUGUUAAACUUCAAUAACGUAUGAGUAUAUAAAAUCUCAGUUAUUUCGUCAAUGAGAGAACUUGAUUCAAAAAAUCAACUUUAGCAUGGGUUUCGCAUUCAAAUUUUUGACAGAACAGCGAAGUCUGAAACUAUAGCUUAUAGGAGCUUCUAUGAAGAUAGUGUAGAUUUAGUAUGGAUGAAAGUUCUAUUUUUCUCUAAGCAUACUCAUUACUAAUUGCUACGGAAAUUUCGUGUAACAGGCAAGUCGAAAAUUUACCAAUUUUUACAUGAAUAUCAUGCUUGUGUUUUUUCACUGGACUCACGACUAAAUCAUUAGAGUUCUGCAAGUAACAUCAUGCAUUGAUGACGAAAAAUAGUGACCGAAAUUCAUGAAUGUGGCAUGACAUAAUCAUUCUUAGUCUAUUUUCACUUGUUAGAUCCACCUUCAGUGAAUUACAUUGUUAUUAGUUACUUUAUAUUCCAAAAAGAGGGUUGCCUGCCGAAAGCCAUCCAUGCACAACGUGGCUUAUGGCAAUUCUUACCUAUCGCAUAAUCGGCAGAUAGCCUCUAGAAAACGCAAAUCUAUUGCAUUCGAUUAAACUGCCUCUGGCCAACAAGCAGAUCUAGAGUUCUUGUGGCUCAGUAUUGUCUGCCAACGCUUAAAAAAAUCUUUGCACCAGUCAGAUACUGUGAAUAGUGACUUUCCGGCAUUCAUUCUCCAGAGACAACUGCGUCUCAUUAUUUUUUUCAUUCAAGUUGAAACGAGACGAGACCAUUUUUAAAGCUUUGUCCCGAUUGAUGAUAGAAAUCUGAACAACUUUAACUUUUCGUGACAAUCUGGACGCUUCAUGAGAUCUUUUUAGCGGGACAAAAUGAGACAAAACGAGAUACAUAUAUGCUAUACUUCUAAACAUGACAUUUUGAUAGUGAAUUUUGAGACACAGUUCGAACUGUUCGUCUGUGUUUUGUCCCUAAAAAUUUUUAGAGAUCGCCUUUGCUUCCGACAUCUUUAAGACCGACAACAAUUCAACUUGACUGUACUAAAUAGUGCCGGGUAUGACACCCGUUGAAAUUAGGAACAAUCAAAAUACACGAUCUAUAUGUUGUCUCAGUUUAUUUUAUUAAGCGGUUCCGAGACGCUAAAGUUUGUUCACUUUAACUUCAAGCCGCCAGUAUUUAUCUUCAGCAUCAAAUCGGCCCUUUAGUCGAACGACUAAUCGUCAAAAAUGGCGAUAGAUCUUGGAUCCCAGAACGCGUCACGAUCCGAAACCCAAGCCUAAAUUUUAUUAGCUCAUAGUACCGAGCACCGUAUUUUGAAGAUGCUUCGAUUUUUCGUAUGAAAUACUGAAAAAUUAAGUUUCUCUGGAUUAUUUUUAGGUAGAUAAUUUAAUAUCGUGUCCACCCGCCGUGCCAGUUUGUAGGGAAGGCUCAUUCGCUGCACGAACUGAUAGCGCCAGGCAGGUUUCAUGCAACUCCUCGGGGGAGCUAUGACGAUUGCCCGCAGAACGUUGUAAGCUUCCUACAAUUCGAGCACUGGUAAGAGUAUGAAGUGAUGCUUCGAUGUGUAUUGUUAGGUAACGAACAGUCAAAUAAUUGCGGGUCUUUCGCUUUCUAAAUCGUGGUGGGAGAGUUUUUCAUAUUUAAAAAAGAAAAAUGGCUUGAAGCUCAAUCCACGGCUGAUAAGGGGUCUUUCGGUAAAUUUGCUUGGAAAUAUAUUAGAGGCUAGUCGAUGUUCAAAAUUUCCGUUUCACGGUGGCGCGCCCUGCAUCCAUUACGUUGAGGUCGUGCUUUUUAACUCGUACACUAAUAGGUCUUUGGGUUGACAUGUAGUUCGGUAAAAAUUGAAGUAAUGUUUCAAUUAUCUCGCAUGAUAAAUCAAAAUACGUGAACUGAAACCUUCUAGAUGGAUUUUCAUAACCACUAUUCCAGAACAAUGUUAAAAUGUAUAAAUGUGUGAAACUGGUAAGUGCGCUAAGUUAUUUCUCUCAAUGAAAUAUAUUGUCAGUAAUAAUCACGAAUGGUUCAGGCUUCAAGGUUAGGACUGUUCCGAGUGAAAAAAGUUAUGUAUUCCCUGCUUACCUGUCCGUCCCUGAAAUGCUAAGAUGUUUUUUCAUUCCUCAAUUCACAGUAAGAAUUGAUCAUCAUAAUAACAAUGAUGGGAAGCACCAUUUGACUGCCACCAGCCAGUCCCCGAUGUCUUUCUUCUGACUGGCGCCGAGAAUUGAGAUUUACUUCUCUCUUGAAACUUAUUAUUAAACCUCCAGCCGAUAUCAAUAAAUUUACAUCUUAUAAACUCGUUCGCCUUUAUCAUGUCUCAUGUGCCUCCGGAAUUCCUGGCAUUUAUUUUAACUAAAAUUUUCUUUUUAAGCGUUUAUCUUGCCAGCAUAGAGCCUCAAUUAGCAUUACCUGUACUAAAUGCAUCAUAUCAUGCAUAAUCCUUAAGAAAUUCACACCAUCUCUGAUGUAGUGACCACUAUAGUCAUAAUAGUAAUAAGGUAUUAUAAGAUCGUAAAUGCUUCUGAAAUACUAAUGUUUUCUAUAACUAAUACCAUGCAUUACCAUUUUCUAAAUUCCAGCAAUUUGAAGGGUUUUAUUAGGUGCAGAUAAAUAAUAUUGAUUGUUAUUUCACAAAUCAUAAUUUCGAAUAGUUCCAAACUAAAUCCUGCCUACCUUUACAACAGCUGUAAUUAUCAGGCUAAUGACCGUCGCUAUAAAUUUAAGAUGGGGUAUUAAUGAUCCCUGAUAUCACCAGACGUGAAAUGAAUUUAUUAACUCAAAUAACAGUAAAUGGCAUCAAUGCCAAUAAAAUGAACUAGCUUUUUGCUAAUAUUUGACAUGAUAUUUGAAUCUAAAUAAUGUAAUUUAUGACUCCCGUUCAACUUUUGUGAUUAUUUGUGGGCGAAAAGCUGCUGAAUAAAUUGUUUCAAAGUU
rnacentral:lncRNA from 1 species